rnacentral:ncRNA from 1 species
AGUCUUGAGAAGGGCUGUCCCUAGUACGAGAGGACCGGGACGGACGAACCUCUGGUGUGCCAGUUGUUCUGCCAAGGGCAUGGCUGGUUGGCUACGUUCGGGAGGGACUAACCGCUGAAAGCAUCUAAGCGGAAGCCUGCUUCGAGAUGAGGACUCCCACUCCUAGAGAGGGUAAGGCUCCCAGUAGACGACUGGGUUGAUAGGCCGGAUAUGGAAGCACGGUAACGUGUGGACGUUGACCGGUACUAA